UACAUGGGGUGCAAACGUUGCUCGGAAUCAUUGGGCGUAAAGCGCGCGUAGGCGGUUAUUUAAGUUGGAUGUGAAAGCCCUCGGCUUAACUGAGGAAGUGCAUCCAAAACUGAACAGCUAGAGUACGAAAGGGGGUCGCGGAAUUCCCGGUGUAGAGGUGAAAUUCGUAGAUAUCGGGAGGAACACCGGUGGCGAAGGCGGCGACCUGGGUCGAGACUGACGCUGAGGCGCGAAAGCGUGGGGAGCAAACAGG
rnacentral:rRNA from 1 species